AUUGAACGCUGGCGGCAUGCCUUACACAUGCAAGUCGAACGGUAACGGGCCUUCGGGUGCCGACGAGUGGCGAACGGGUGAGUAAUGCAUCGGAACGUACCUUUCAGUGGGGGAUAACGUAGCGAAAGUUACGCUAAUACCGCAUAUUCUGUGAGCAGGAAAGCAGGGGAUCGCAAGACCUUGCGCUGAUUGAGCGGCCGAUGUCAGAUUAGCUAGUUGGUGAGGUGAAGGCUCACCAAGGCGACGAUCUGUAGCGGGUCUGAGAGGAUGAUCCGCCACACUGGAACUGAGACACGGUCCAGACUCCUACGGGAGGCAGCAGUGGGGAAUUUUGGACAAUGGGGGCAACCCUGAUCCAGCCAUGCCGCGUGAGUGAAGAAGGCCUC
rnacentral:rRNA from 1 species